GCUGGGCAUGGUGGCGCAUGCCUGUAAUCCCAGCUACUCGGGAGGCUGAGGCAGGAGAAUUGCCUGAACCCAGGAGGUGGAGGUUGCAGUGAGCCGAGAUCAGGCCACUGCCCUCCAGCCUGGGUAACAAGAGCGAAAAUCCGUCUCAA
ensembl:misc_RNA Metazoa_SRP Metazoan signal recognition particle RNA